rnacentral:rRNA from 5 species
GCCAUGCAAGUCUCAGUACAUGCCGCACUAAGGUGAAACCGCAAAAGGCUCAUUAAAUCAGUUAUGGUUCCUUGGAUCUUAAACAGUUACUUGGAUAACUGUGGUAAUUCUAGAGCUAAUACAUGCAAACAAGUCCCGACCAGAGAUGGGAGGGACGCUUUUAUUAGAUCAAAACCGAUCGGCGUCCGGCUCCGGCCGGCGCCGUCUCUUUUGGUGACUCUGGAUAACUUUUAGCCGAUCGCACGGUCACAGUACCGGCGACGCAUCUUUCAAAUGUCUGACUUAUCAACUGUCGAUGGUAGGCUCUGCGCCUACCAUGGUUGUAACGGGUAACGGGGAAUCAGGGUUCGAUUCCGGAGAGGGAGCCUGAGAAACGGCUACCACAUCCAAGGAAGGCAGCAGGCGCGCAAAUUACCCACUCCCGGCACGGGGAGGUAGUGACGAAAAAUAACGAUACGGGACUCAUCCGAGGCCCCGUAAUCGGAAUGAGUACACUUUAAAUACUUUAACGAGUACCAAUUGGAGGGCAAGUCUGGUGCCAGCAGCCGCGGUAAUUCCAGCUCCAAUAGCGUAUAUUAAAGUUGUUGCGGUUAAAAAGCUCGUAGUUGGAUCUGUGUGCCACGCUGUCGGUUCACCGCCUGUCGGUGUCAACUGGCACGUCUGUGGGACGUCCUGCCGGUGGCGGCACGGGCUGCCGGCGUCGCGUAGGGGCUCGCCCCCGAAGCGCGCCGGCGUGUCCCGGUCCGCCGGUCCAAUCCCGCCGCGGUGCUCUUCACUGAGUGUCGAGGCGGGCCGGCACGUUUACUUUGAACAAAUUAGAGUGCUCAAAUCAGGUCGUAUUCAGGCCUGAAUACUG